AGUCAAACGGUGAAGGAAACGAACAUUCAGUGAAGCCUGCAGAGAGCCGAUGGUCGGUGCGAAUCGGUGGCGGAUUGACUUGUUCCAGCGUUCCGGAGUUGUUGCGUCGAACCCUGAUGGCAGUAGGCGUAACCGAAUCGAACCCGUUAACGUUCGGCGUCUAGCUUAGACGCGUAAGGCUGCUUGUGCGAAUAAGCAGCGAAUUAGGGUGGCACCACGAAGAUGGAACUCUCGUCCCUUAC
rnacentral:ncRNA from 1 species